GGCGGUUAUAUUUCGUUGAAACACCGGUUCUCGUACGAUCAUCGAAGUUAAACAACGUCGACCCUGGUCAGUAUCUAGAUGGGUAACCGUUUGGGAAUAUUAGGUG